rnacentral:misc_RNA from 1 species
CAAAAUCCGGUUUGGGUUGGUGGUGGGAGUUGUAUUGUAGGUUUGUAAGGUAGAGGGGAGUUUUCUCUCUUCUACUUCUACUACUACUCUACUUACUACUCGCCCCCCCUCAUCAUUUGCGCUUGUAUUGUUUGACAGAGUAAUUUUCUAUACAUAAAUGA